CAGAAUGGCUGCUAAUUUGCAUUUGAACUAGUUUAAUUCGAAAACAACGUCGGUACCCCCAAUUUUUAUUUUAUCAUAAGUUUUUUUCUGGUGUGAGCAAUCAUUAGGACAAUUUUUAAAAAAUUCUGUAGAUCCAAAAAAUUUUCUUCGAUUUGAAAAAUUUUGGAUCUGCAGAAUUUUUAAAAAAUUGUCCUAAUGAUUGCUCAUACUAGAAAUUGGGGGUCACCGACGUUGUUUUCGAAUUAAACUAGUUCAAAUGCAAAUUAGCAGCCAUUUUG
rnacentral:miRNA from 1 species